GCUGUAUAAGAAGCAGUUCAGGGAAGACAGAUGUAGCAGGGCUGUAUUUGAAGCGGUUCAGAGAAGACAGAUGUGGCAGAGCUGUAUUUGAAACAGAUUCAGAGAAGAC